CACGUAGGGGCGAGCGUUGUCCGGAAUUACUGGACGUAAAGGGCGCGCAGGCGGUUAUGUUAGUCUGCUGUGAAAAGCAUCGGCUUAACCGGUGUCUUGCGGCGGAUACUGCAUAGCUUGAGUACUGGAGAGGGAAGUGGAAUUCCCGGUGUUGCGGUGAAAUGCGUAGAUAUCGGGAGGAGCACCGGUGGCGAAGGCGGCUUUCUGGCCAGUUACUGACGCUCAUGCGCGAGAGCUGGGUUAGCGAACCGGAUUAGAUACCCGGGUA
rnacentral:rRNA from 1 species